rnacentral:rRNA from 1 species
GACGAACGCUGGCGGCGUGCUUAACACAUGCAAGUCGAACGGAAAGGCCCCUUUGGGGGUACUCGAGUGUCGAACGGGUGAGUAACACGUGAGUAACCUGCCCUUGACUUCGGGAUAACUUCAGGAAACUGGGGCUAAUACCGGAUAGGAAUCCUUGCUGCAUGGUGGGGGUUGGAAAGCUUCGGCGGUUUUGGAUGGACUCGCGGCUUAUCAGCUUGUUGGUGGGGUAGUGGCUUACCAAGGCUUUGACGGGUAGCCGGCCUGAGAGGGCGACCGGCCACAUUGGGACUGAGAUACGGCCCAGACUCCUACGGGAGGCAGCAGUGGGGAAUAUUGCACAAUGGGCGGAAGCCUGAUGCAGCAACGCCGCGUGCGGGAUGACGGCCUUCGGGUUGUAAACCGCUUUCAGCAGGGGCGAAGCUUGUGGUGACGGUACCUGCAGAAGAAGCACCGGCUAACUACGUG